rnacentral:rRNA from 1 species
AACGAACGCUGGCGGCAUGCCUAACACAUGCAAGUCGAACGAGACCUUCGGGUCUAGUGGCGCACGGGUGCGUAACGCGUGGGAACCUGCCCUUAGGUUCGGAAUAACUCCCCGAAAGGGGUGCUAAUACCGGAUAAUGUCUUCGGACCAAAGAUUUAUCGCCUUUGGAUGGGCCCGCGUUGGAUUAGCUAGUGGGUAGGGUAAAAGCCUACCACGGCGACGAUCCAUAGCUGGUCUGAGAGGAUGAGCCGCCACACUGGGACUGAGACACGGCCCAGACUCCUACGGGAGGCAGCAGUGGGGAAUAUUGGACAAUGGGCGAAAGCCUGAUGCAGCAAUGCCGCGUGAGUGAUGAAGGCCUUAGGGUUGUAAAGCUCUUUUACCCGGGAUGAUAAUGACAGUACCGGGAGAAUAAGCUCCGGCUAACUCCGUG